rnacentral:rRNA from 1 species
GACAGAGGGUGCAAGCGUUGUCCGGAAUCACUGGGCGUAAAGGGCGCGUAGGCGGCCUGAUAAGUCGGGGGUGAAAUCCCCGGGCUCAACCCGGGAACUGCGUCCGAUACUGGAUGGCUUGAAUCCGGGAGAGGGAUGUGGAAUUCCAGGUGUAGCGGUGAAAUGCGUAGAUAUCAAGCGGAACACCGGUGGACGAAGGCGGCCUUCGUGGACA